rnacentral:misc_RNA from 1 species
UCUACCCAAUCUGUCAACUGUUAACAGAGAAAUGAAGGUAGAGGAACAAAGAACUGCCCAGUCACUGCUGAGUACAGGGAAGCAUUUCCUUCAAAUCGCAUGCUCUGAAACAGCACUGAAGCAUAGAAGAGAAUUGAAUUCAUGCCUGUCAAGAUCUGGAAUGCUGGCAUGAAGACUGCAAUUAACAAUUGUGGUCUGUUCCUCCUUUUCAGGAUGUUUCUUAAGGGAUGCUUGAUCGAGUUAGCCAGCUCACUCGCAUCUAGCAUGUCCUGAAAUUCUGCAUCAACAUUUUUCAGAAGUAUUCCUCCUACUGUAAUCAAUAGAGCUGGAACUGCUGCUAGUCCCAGAGAAAGACUCCAUCCCCAUGGCUUAAGUUUCUUUGUUUCAUAUUUGCUGUAAAGAUCCCAGCGGCAGCUGCUAACUGAAACAUAUUUGCUAUUACCAUCAUUUUCCUUUCGCUGAGUAUCAUCUAAUCUCCUCGCUGAAGCGUUUAAUCAGGGACGGAUCCAGGAUUUUUCUUCUAAGUGAGCAAACGAAGUAUACAAACAUAUUUUGAUUAAUCAAAAUAACAGAUUAACCAAAUAAUCAAAUUGUGUUACAUCAG